AUUUCAUUAGGGUUUCUAAGUGCCUAUAUAUACCACCCUUACACCCUAGCCGCAUACAUCUUCCCCUCUCCACAAAAUCAGAAAAUCAUCUCUCCUUCUCCCCACCUUUUGCCGCAGCCACCAUCACCCAAAAUCCAUCCAUUCCAGCCGCCACUCAUCCAUUCCAGCAACCUACCCCACUUUGCCGCACCACCAUACACCUCCCUUACCCUUUUCCGAACCACCAUAUCAUCCCAAAUCCAUCCCUAAAACGAAAUCACAUCCAAACAGCCCCUAAACCCUCACUGCCGCAGCAAGGAGAAGAAGAAGAAAGAGGAGCUUUCUGUGCAGAUUUCAAAGUGGACUUCUUUGGCAUUUUAGGUGUAAUCUUUCUUAUGUCUUCGAUGUUUCAAUUCAAAAAACUUUGUGUUGUGAGUAUGAGGAACUAAACCCCCUUAGUUGGGGGGUGAUUCGAAACCAUGUACAUGCUUGCAAUUUGAUUCGAUUACAUUCAGUUGUUAUUUCAUGAGUUAUGGAUUCAAUUCGUUCAUCUAUUUGAUUGAUAACUUAUUUGUGUAUGUUGAUUGAGAGUGCACGCUUAGUUUUCAUGCAUGAAUAUGAUGCUAGAUUAUGAGGGAGUUUCACCUAAUAGUUACAACCUUAUAAUCACAAGUAGUGAAGAUCGCUUGAAAUCGAUCGCGUUGAAUGAAUUCUUAGCAUAAGUUUUCAUGCAAUUCAUAGUAACAAAUGCUUCGUCAAUGCUUAUGUUUUUCAUAGAACGUAAUGAUUCUUACUUGUAUCUCUAUUAUGCAAUUCAUGUAGGGAACUUGUAGGGAAUGUUUUGGGUUGUCGUAUGCAAUCAUCCAACUUAAUAACUUGUGGAAAAACUGAGGGUUAAUUAGUGCAAUUCACGGUUAACUUGGGGCGUUGAGUAUUCAUAGUUUAUCGGAAGAACAACUGAAAAAUCGUUCUGUUUGCAAGUGUGACAUGUGUGGAGAAGAACCUCCUAACUAGCCUUUUAACCAUCUAUUUCACCAAAAUCGUUUUUACAAUCUGUGUUAAUUAAAGUUUCUGUUUUGUUUUCAAUUUUCGUCCAAAACAAUUCCCCCUUUAUUUUGAAGUCUUAGAUUAGUUAGAAAGUGUUUUGAUUUGUGUUUCUAGGUGUUUUGAUUCAAGUUUUCAACCAAUUUCGUCCAGAUUAGUGUAAGUGCUCAAAACUGCCCAGAAAGUGGUUUUUAGGCAGUUUUGAGUCUUCUAGUUGCUGUUUUGGUUUUUAGGUUUGUUUAAGUGUUUUAACUUUUAGUUUUGCAUUCUUUGAGUCUAGUUUAGUGUUUUUAACUUUGUUUUUUAGUGUUUAAGUCAGUUUCCAAGCGUUUAGCAAUCCCUCCUAAUCCCCGGUCUAGAACGAUCCCUACUUACAUCUUUGCUACAAUUUGACAAAAAGAGGGUUUAAUUUGUGUGCUUAUCUAUUUCGCAUCAAAUUUUUGGCGCCGUUGCCGGGGAUUAGCAAAUUUGCUAAUCCCUUGGAUUGUUUUUGUUUUUUUUAUUAAACUUUGUUUCUGACUUUGUUUAAGUUUCUGACCUAAUUUUGUUUCUUGUUUCUUAGGUACUAAUGUAUGACUAGAAGCUCUCAACCGAUUCGUGCAAACAUCUUGGAUUUUGACGACGAUUUUGAGAGGAAGUUAAGAAGAGCUAGAAACCAGCAAGAACACCAUCCACCCAAUUCCGAAUCUGACCUUGAAGAAAACGUCCAAGAAGAGGAGGAAGAAGCCACGGCAGGGAUAUUUGAAGAAGUCCAAGGCAUGGCCAUGGACAAUCGUACACUCAAGGAGCUUUCCGCCUCGGGUUUGGAUAAUGCCGCACCCUUGUGCAUCCAAUACCCCGUGGCUGCCCAAGGUAAGACGGAUGAGUUUGAAUUAAAGUCAAGUUUGCUUCAUCAUAUUCCUAAAUACCAUGGCUUGUCCAUGGAAGAUCCUAACAAACAUUUGAAAGAAUUUGAAGUAGUUUGCUCUAGUAUGACUCCCGUCAAUGUUGACGGAAAUAUUUUGAAGAUGAAGGCUUUUCCAUUCUCUUUGAUGGAUAAAGCCAAGGAUUGGUUAUAUGAGUUAGCUCCCGGAACUGUCACAUCGUGGGAAAGUAUGAAGAGAGCGUUCUUGGAGAAGUUCUUUCCAACUUCUCGCAUCAUCCUCCUCCGCAAAAAGAUAAGCGGAAUUCAGCAAGAAGAAGGUGAGUCUUUUCCUACAUAUUAUGAACGAUUUAAAUCACUUGUUGCUUCUUGUCCACAGCAUCAGAUGAAGGAGGAAUUGCUCUUGCAAUAUUUCUACGAGGGCCUCCUACCUCUAGAACGUCAAAUGCUUGAUGCUUCAGCGGGCGGAGCAUUGGUGGAUAAAACACCCAUGGCUGCCAAGGUCUUGAUUGCUAAUAGAGCGUUGAACGCUCAACAGUACGAGGGUGUAGGCCAAAGAGGACCCCCACGGCACCAAGUACAUGAGGUAAGUUCGACUUCCGAUCUUCAUUCACAAUUGGCUAAUCUUACUUCUCUUGUGUCUCAGAUGGCCGAGGGCAUGAAGAUGCAAGGAACAACUGUAUGUGGCGUAUGUUCCAUCCAAGGACAUGUCUCUGAAAAAUGUCCACAGUUGAUUGAAAAUGGUGGAUGGGAAAGCGCCCAUGCAAUUGGGUUUCAAGGUCAAAACCAACCAAGGAACGAUCCAUAUUCAAACACAUAUAAUCCCGGUUGGAGAGACCACCCAAAUUUCAAGUGGAGGGAUCCCCAGCAACCUCAGAACCAAGGAGGCUUUAGGCAACAACCCCCGGGGUUCUUUCCCAAAACCUACGGCCCACCCCAAAAUCAAGCCCAAUCCGGCCCAAAUGCCUCAGGUACGUGUCUUGACAAUGAUGCACUUCUUAAGAUACUAACUAAGUUGUCUAAUGGACAGGAAGAUCAAGCUAAGGCUAUGCAAAUCCAAGACAAAAGGGUGGAUCAACUUGAGAAAACAAAUUGGGCAGAUUGCCGAGUUUGUUGGGCAGUUUAGAGAACAAGGAAAGCUUCCUAGUUCAACCAUUGCGAAUCCGAAAGGAGGCUUUGAAACCGCAAAUGCAAUCAUGCUAAGGAGUGGAAAAGAAGUUGGGGCAGGUUCUACACCACCAAAAUCAGGUCCCAAAGAGGAUGAAAUGUUGAAAUCUGAAGAGGAGACACCAAGUCCACUCACGGCAAAGGUAGCACCACCUUUGCCGCAAGCACCCAUGGUCCCUAAGCCAUCCAAUCCUUCCACCCUAGGUAAGAUGAGUCCAAGUUUGGUUAAUGCUAACAUUAUUCCACCCAAUGUGCCAUUUCCUAGCAGAUUUUUGCAAUCCAAGAAUGAAGAGGAGGAAAAAGAUGUGCUAGAGACAUUUAGGAAGGUUCAAGUUAACAUACCUCUCUUGGAUGCAAUCAAGCAAAUCCCGAAGUAUGCCAAGUGUUUAAAGAAGCUUUGUACGACAAAGAAACGUACUCGGGAGAAAGAAGUGGUACAUGUAAGCGAGAAUGUCUCCGCCAUUUUGCAACGUAAACUACCCCCCAAAUGCAAAGAUCCGGGGAGCUUUACAAUUCCGUGUGUCAUUGGUAAUACCCGUUUCAAAUCUGCCAUGCUAGAUUUAGGAGCAUCUAUUAAUGUUAUGCCAUAUUCUGUUUAUGCAUCUAUGAAUCUAGGAGCACUUAAAAUGAUGGGGUAAUAAUACAAUUGGCCGAUAGAUCUAACGCCUAUCCAAAGGGAGUUUUGGAAGAUGUUCUUGUGCAGGUUAAUCAUUUGGUCUUCCCAGCGGAUUUCUAUGUCCUCGAAAUGGAUGAAUCGGACCAUGCCCCUUCGUUGCCCAUCCUCCUUGGAAGGCCAUUUAUGAAAACGGCUCAAACGAAGAUUGAUGUGGCCAAAGGAUUAGUAACUAUGGCAUUUGGUGGUGACAUGAUUAGUUUUAAAAUUUCUGAAUCCAUUGAGACUCCUAAUGUUGUUCAUUCUUGUUGUGCCAUUGAUAAACUUGAAAAGAUAGGCCCGGACCGUUCAGCACCAAGCACAAAGGAUGCGUCAAGAACCAUGCAAGACGAGGGAAUUGGAGUGGAGUACAAGGCCCAUACGGCCACUGCCCUCAAAGUGCUCACAGUGGCCGAAGGCACCAUGGGGAAGAACGUGUACCUUGCUGCCACUUCAUCACAUCACAUAGGUAAGCCACCUAAUCCAAUCCAAUUCCCAUUAAAGUUGAUAGGUGGUUCCCUUCUAUGGUGCAGGUACCCAAGCAAAUCCCCGAUGGUGGGCGCAUGUACAUGAACCUUAGGCAACACAACGCACCCAUCAACAAACAUCACUAUCCAUUACCGUUCAAAGAUGCAAUGUAUGAGAGUGCCGUGGGCUCCAAUGGGGCAUGAUUGUGCUUUUCGUCCGGCUGUACGACGUUAAAGAAAGCGCUACUUGGGAGGCAACCCAUGCAAUGCAACAAAGGAAGACCAAGGAAUUACUCCAAUUCCAGAUUUGCGUUCCUAAACUCUUCCCUUUGUUAUUUAUUUCGAAUCUGCCUAUUUAGUUGUUUUAGUUGCUGUUUGUGUGUUUCUUUUUGUUUAGUGUGAUUUUAUGCUUGAAACAUUGAGGACAAUGUUUGAUUUAAGUGUGGGGGGGUAACUAAGUGUUCUAGAUGCAAAUUCGUGGGAUUUUAUCACCCUAAAGUUGAAGACUUGUUCCUUGCUGUUUUUAAGUGUUUUUGAGCAGUUUUGGUGUGUUUUAGUGUGUGUUAAUGCAAAAAUCCGAAAAUUACAUAAAAAUUUUAAAAAUUUGUUUUAAAAACCCAAAAAGAGUUGUUUUUGUGUGUUUGUUUGUGUCUUAGGGUACCUUCCAACACAAUGAUGAGGAUUCGGUUUGUAAUUACAUGGCUGUUAAAGAGAGUGAUUAACAUGGAUGAAAGUUUGAUUUACUCUUUGUUAUGCUUAGUUGUGGUUAUAACUUAUGAAUUCACAUGCAAUCAUAAAAGAAAAAAUCAGUUUUUGUAACAUGCUUGAAGGAAGGAACUCAAACUAACGCUACAACCUUGUGAGACUUGAGCCUAAACGUUUAUGUGGAGAGUUAAAAUCUGUGCAUUCUUUGUUUUCUAAGUCGUUGCAUGAUCUCAUUAUUCCUUGCUUGGUUGCUACUUAGAUGGCGUUUCAUCAUUUAGUUCCAAAUGCUAGAACUCAUGCCCAUUUCAUUCAAAGCAUGUUAUUGAUUUGCAUAACACAUAUUCAAGAUGAAGUUGUGUAGUGACCACCACCUUAGCCAAAAAGCCGUGUGCCCUAUGUCAUUGUGAUUUGUAGGUUUUAACCCCAUUGAGCCUUGUUAGCCUUCGUUAUUUGUUAACCCAUGUUUUCCUCACCUAGCCUAGUUUAGGACCAUCUAAACCCUUGUUCUUAAAGCAUAGUAAAGCAUGGUUCAAAUUGAAUUCCUUUUGAUUUAUGUUGGCAGAAAACUAGUGUGGGGGAAGUAUUUCUUUUGUGAUUUUGUGUGCCAUAGGCACGUGUGGAAAGAAAAGAAAAAAAAAAGAAAAGAAAAAAAUUCGUGGAAAAAGAAAAAAUGAAGAAAAAAAUAUGAAAAGUGUGACAAAGAGUUGAAAAGUUGAGAAAAAGAGUUCCAAAGUAUUGUUUGUUGAAGUAAGGGUCCAAAACAAUGAAUUCGGCCCUAAGGAGUUGUUUAAAUCUUUCCCUUUUGUUUUAAAGUUAAUUUCUGCACUCUAAGUGAAUUCUAAGUCUCAAUUUCAUUGCUUUGCUUACUAUUGCUUGAAGAACAUUUGUUUUCCUUAUCCUUUCCUUGUUAACCAACACCCCAAGCCCCAUUACAACCCUUAACUUCUAUCUUGAGUGUUAUGUGUUUCAAUUUGUGGAGUUUGAAUUUGGUAUGAGCAUAUGGUGUCACUGGUUCUCGCAUCUAAGUAGUAGCAUUCCAUUCAUGAGAUCAUAUCUAAACAUGCUUCUUAACUCUAGAAAUUGCGUUCUUUGUGAUACAUAUAUGUGAGCAUUCGUUUUCAUUUCUACAUCAAUCUUCUCACAUAUGACUAGUGUAGGGUGUGGAGUUAGAAAAUCUGAGUGAAAAUAGAGUGUAUAUCUUGUAAGGAAUUGAGGGAAUUCUCUAAGGCAUGUUACUACAUUCAAAGCAUUGUUUUGAUUGAUUACUUGUGAAUUAGUAAGUGGUGGCUUUAAUUAAGUAUGUGCUUGUGUAAAGAUGACUCAAAUCUGUGGGGAUAACAAUCUUUAACAUGUCAUGUGCAUUGGAAAUCCCUGAGGCAAACGUUGGAAGGUUUAGGUUUUGUUUUGGUUAGUUGGUUUCGUUCUGUUUCCUUUCUUUUGUUUGUUUUGCUCGAGGACUAGCAAAAGCUAAGUGUGGGGGAAUUUGAUAGGAGCAUAUUUAUGCGCCUUAGUUAGCUAGUUCUUAUGCAUCUUUGUUAUGUUUUCUUCGUUAAAGUAGUCUUUUAAGCUACUUUCUUGUGUUUUCAGGUUUAGCGGACGUAUUACAUGAAAUGAUGCAAUUUGGAGCUUUGGAGCAAAAAGUGAGCUUGAAUUGAAAAGGACAUGCUUGGAACGCAAGGUUGGGAUGGAAUUGAAGAGUUGAUGAUUUGAGGUUUCCUACUUGAAGUAGGAAAGUUAAGCCUAAAAGUUUCCAUUUUGGGUCGAUCUUUCCUAAAUCGGAAUUGGCAACCAAAGUUUCUAAAAGUUGGAAGUUUCUAUUCUUGGAGGUUUCCAUUUUCGAGAGUUUCUAUUCUUGGCGUUGGGCUUUUAGAUGACCUAAACCCAAAUUUCCUUGUGGACCUUCAACCCAUGCCGAACCCUAGGGCCUAAUCAUCUAAAAUCUGCCAUGUUAAACCCUAGUCCAUUUCUCCUAAACCCAAGCCGCACCUAACCCUAGCCCAUUGUUAAAAAUCUGAUUUCAUUAGGGUUUCUAAGUGCCUAUAUAUACCACCCUUACACCCUAGCCGCAUACAUCUUCCCCUCUCCACAAAAUCAGAAAAUCAUCUCUCCUUCUCCCCACCUUUUGCCGCAGCCACCAUCACCCAAAAUCCAUCCAUUCCAGCCGCCACUCAUCCAUUCCAGCAACCUACCCCCACUUUGCCGCACCACCAUACACCUCCCUUACCCUUUUCCGAACCACCAUAUCAUCCCAAAUCCAUCCCUAAAACGAAAUCACAUCCAAACAGCCCCUAAACCCUCACUGCCGCAGCAAGGAGAAGAAGAAAGAGGAGCUUUCUGUGCAGAUUUCAAAGUGGACUUCUUUGGCAUUUUAGGUGUAAUCUUUCUUAUGUCUUU
rnacentral:lncRNA from 1 species